rnacentral:rRNA from 1 species
GAUGAACGCUAGCGGCAGGCUUAACACAUGCAAGUCGAGGGGUAUUUGUCUUCGGAUAGAGAGACCGGCGCACGGGUGCGUAACGCGUAUGCAAUCUACCUUUUACAGAGGGAUAGCCCAGAGAAAUUUGGAUUAAUUACCUCAUAGUAUAUAGACCUGGCAUCAGGAUUAUAUUAAAGUCACAACGGUAAAAGAUGAGC